UGGGGAAUAUUGCACAAUGGGCGCAAGCCUGAUGCAGCCAUGCCGCGUGUAUGAAGAAGGCCUUCGGGUUGUAAAGUACUUUCAGCGGGGAGGAAGGUGUUGUGGUUAAUAACCACAGCAAUUGACGUUACCCGCAGAAGAAGCACCGGCUAACUCCGUGCCAGCAGCCGCGGUAAUACGGAGGGUGCAAGCGUUAAUCGGAAUUACUGGGCGUAAAGCGCACGCAGGCGGUCUGUCAAGUCGGAUGUGAAAUCCCCGGGCUCAACCUGGGAACUGCAUCCGAAACUGGCAGGCUAGAGUCUUGUAGAGGGGGGUAGAAUUCCAGGUGUAGCGGUGAAAUGCGUAGAGAUCUGGAGGAAUACCGGUGGCGAAGGCGGCCCCCUGGACAAAGACUGACGCUCAGGUGCGAAAGCGUGGGGAGCAAACA
rnacentral:rRNA from 1 species